rnacentral:rRNA from 1 species
UACGAAGGGGGCGAGCGUUGCUCGGAAUUACUGGGCGUAAAGGGCGCGUAGGCGGCUAGGUAAGUCAGAGGUGAAAGCCCAGGGCUCAACCUUGGAAUUGCCUUUGAUACUGGCUAUCUUGAGGACGGAAGAGGUAUGUGGAACUCCGAGUGUAGAGGUGAAAUUCGUAGAUAUUCGGAAGAACACCAGUGGCGAAGGCGACAUCCUGGUCCGUUACUGACGCUGAGGCUCGAAAGCGUGGGGAGCAAACAGG